rnacentral:tRNA from 1 species
GGCUGGGUAGCUCAGUGGUUUGAGAGCCAAGCCUAGAGGUGGGAGGUCCUAGGUUCGAAUCCGGCCUCAGCCA